rnacentral:rRNA from 1 species
AAAUAAACUUAAAGGACGCGGUAUCUUGACCGUGAUAAUGUAGCAUAAUCACUCGCCAUUUAAUUGAUGGAUAGUAUGAAUGGUUAAACGAAUAUAACACUGUCUUGAGAAAAAACCUUAUGAAAUUAGAAUAAUAGUAAAGAUACUAUUUUAGAUUAUAAGACGAGAAGACCCUAUAGAGCUUAACUAUAAUUCUUUAAUAAUAAAUAAACUAGUUUAUUUAUUUAGAGAAGUAGGUAGUUUAGUUGGGGCGACUGCUUUCUAGAAAUAACGAAAGCAAGCAAAAUUAAUUAAAUAAUUUACUGUAUAAUUUAUCUAUUUAACAGUUAUAAUAAUAGGCAAUAAUGACCCGUUAAUUAUUCGUAAAUAUAUUAACGAUCAAUAAAUAAAAGCUACCUUAGGGAUAACAGGAUAAUCUUGUUCUAGAGAUCAUAUCGAAAACAAGGUUUGUCACCUCUAUGUUGAAUUAAGAUAUCCAAGAAGUGCAGAAGCUUCUAAGGGUAGGUCUGUUCGACCUAUAAAAUCUUACAUGAUUUG